CCAACAAGGGGCCUCUCCUGCACAGCGCUAGAAAAUAACACCAGUGGAGUGACAUUUGCCCGAAGAGAGAGAGACACUACAACUGAAGCAUUACCUGGAAAGAGAAGCAGUGUUCUGGAAAUGAAAUAAUCUAGCUUAUUUCCUCCAUUCCUUAGCAUUUGACACCCUCCUGUAUCUAUUGCAUUCACAGCUUUUUAACUCAAGGAAAUUACAUAAGGAAAUACUGGAGGUACCUUAUGCUUGCCUGAUAUGCCAGAAGAUGGCAGAAGGGAAGUGUUUUGGUAAUAGCCUCAAAUCCUGAUUGUCAAGAUGAGAUUUCAGACGGAUCAAAAAUUCAUUCUGCCUGUUGAUGUCUGUUGCCAAGAUCAGGGAGCCCAACUGCUGCUCAAUGUCCUGUCUGCAAUGAAGCAGCGUGUGCACCAUUACGUGGUCGUGGGACACCACCACAUGAGCGCUGGAAGCUGCAUGUGAUCUUGCCUAAAGCACCCUCCUAGACACGAUCAAAUUAAUCAAAUGGAAAGCCAACGGACACAUCUCCCAUGGCGCUCACUGCCAGCACGAGCAGUGCCAAAGGAAGUCCAAGCCUUCUGUUUGUUUCCAGCCGCAUCUGGAGGUACAGCGGGUAAUCUCUUAAACUUCUGGUAUAAGUUUUGGAAAAAAGAGACAACAGAAACUGGACGGUUGGUCGAAAGUAACAAGAUACAACACAGUUUUAUUUGUAAGACAAACCUUGUAAGAAACUGAAGAUUGAAGAUUAAACAGUCCUUUGAGAGAACAGUAAUGGUUUCUUGAGAUAAGAAGCUCCACAGCAAUUCACUGGAUUUCAGGUUUAAGUAAGAGCUCACAAAAAAUAUCUAGACACUGAAGCUAACUCUCUGUUCUCUUUUUUCCCCAACACUUUUUAUGAAAAAACACUAAAUGUUUGUUCUACUGUGAAAUUAAAAUAGCACUUUGUCUGCUGUUUCUAUGGGUGGUAUUAUUCUGAGAGGAUUUUCAGAGAAGUCACUAAGGUUUUUUUGGAUCAUGGAUGGUUCAGGAUUUGAUUUCUCUACAGCAGAUGUGCAAGCACCCUCUGUAGCAAGUUUCUUCCUUAUUAAGUAAUCCAACAGCUACUGAGUGGCACAAAGUCAGUAAUAACAUCCCAAAAAAGCCAUCUUUACGUACUGAGGAUCAAUAUAACUUCCAACAUCAGUAAGCCUCAUGGUUCUUAUGCACAGUCCAAAGACCUCACUGAGUCUUAAUAAUAUAAAAGCACAAAAUAACUUCAUUGCAUCUUGACAAGCCAUGUGGUUUCCAGAAUGAAAACAGUAACAACACCACUACUGUACUAGCCUGAGGGUCAGGUUUUCAUUUAUGAUGUGCCAGCACCUGCCUUGAUUUUCUCACACAUUUUAAAAGCUGAAACAAUUUCAUGGCCUGUUGAAGGAGUGACUAAUGUAGGUGUGAACAGUUACCCAGUGGCAGCAACAUGUGGAAGAACCAGUAGACUUGCUUUCUUAUUUCUUUUCAUUUAUAUAGGGCUGCUA